GACGAACGCUGGCGGCGUGCCUAAUACAUGCAAGUAGAACGCUGAAGCGAGGAGCUUGCUCUUCUUGGAUGAGUUGCGAACGGGUGAGUAACGCGUAGGUAACCUGCCUUGUAGCGGGGGAUAACUAUUGGAAACGAUAGCUAAUACCGCAUAACAAUGGAUGACACAUGUCAUUUAUUUGAAAGGGGCAAUUGCUCCACUACAAGAUGGACCUGCGUUGUAUUAGCUAGUAGGUGAGGUAAUGGCUCACCUAGGCGACGAUACAUAGCCGACCUGAGAGGGUGAUCGGCCACACUGGGACUGAGACACGGCCCAGACUCCUACGGGAGGCAGCAGUAGGGAAUCUUCGGCAAUGGGGGCAACCCUGACCGAGCAACGCCGCGUGAGUGAAGAAGGUUUUCGGAUCGUAAAGCUCUGUUGUAAGUCAAGAACGGGUGUGAGAGUGGAAAGUUCACACUGUGACGGGAGCUUACCAGAAAGGGACGGCUAACUACGG
rnacentral:rRNA from 1 species